AAAUCUUCUAGGCAACUUAUGUAUGACUUGGACGGCAGGAUGUUCAUGUUUCUUAUAGUGUUACAGCUCCAUCUCUGGUAUGGGAUCCCAGCUCUUACCCAGAAGACAGCAGAGAUUAAGCAAGUGGAGCAGCAAACCAUGUUUGGUUUUAAAUUUUGUAGUGAGAAAUGUCAGUUUGAGUGAUUCAACCAGUCGUGAAAGUAUGAAACUGAAAAGAAAGCAAGAACAAGGAGAGAUGGAAUAAGUGAAGAGGACUGGAGGUAAAGCCAAAGACAGAGGUGAUGGAGUCAGAGAUGGUGAGCAGACAGCAGCAGUGAUGGACAGUGGAUAGACCUUUUCGUGGAAUUUGUCUUGGUCUCAUAGAAAUUCAAAACAUUGCUAUA